rnacentral:rRNA from 1 species
GUGGGGAAUUUUGGACAAUGGGCGCAAGCCUGAUCCAGCAAUGCCGCGUGCAGGAAGAAGGCCUUCGGGUUGUAAACUGCUUUUGUACGGAACGAAACGGUCCGGGUUAAUACCCUGGGCUAAUGACGGUACCGUAAGAAUAAGCACCGGCUAACUACGUGCCAGCAGCCGCGGUAAUACGUAGGGUGCAAGCGUUAAUCGGAAUUACUGGGCGUAAAGCGUGCGCAGGCGGGUUUGUAAGACAGGGGUGAAAUCCCCGGGCUCAACCUGGGAAUUGCGCUUGUGACUGCAAGGCUGGAGUGCGGCAGAGGGGGAUGGAAUUCCGCGUGUAGCAGUGAAAUGCGUAGAUAUGCGGAGGAACACCGAUGGCGAAGGCAAUCCCCUGGGCCUGCACUGACGCUCAUGCACGAAAGCGUGGGGAGCAAACAGGAUUAGAAACCCGUGUAGUCC